GGCUCAGGACGAACGCUGGCGGCGUGCCUAAUACAUGCAAGUCGAGCGGACAGAUGGGAGCUUGCUCCCUGAUGUUAGCGGCGGACGGGUGAGUAACACGUGGGUAACCUGCCUGUAAGACUGGGAUAACUCCGGGAAACCGGGGCUAAUACCGGAUGGUUGUCUGAACCGCAUGGUUCAGACAUAAAAGGUGGCUUCGGCUACCACUUACAGAUGGACCCGCGGCGCAUUAGCUAGUUGGUGAGGUAACGGCUCACCAAGGCGACGAUGCGUAGCCGACCUGAGAGGGUGAUCGGCCACACUGGGACUGAGACACGGCCCAGACUCCUACGGGAGGCAGCAGUAGGGAAUCUUCCGCAAUGGACGAAAGUCUGACGGAGCAACGCCGCGUGAGUGAUGAAGGUUUUCGGAUCGUAAAGCUCUGUUGUUAGGGAAGAACAAGUGCCGUUCAAAUAGGGCGGCACCUUGACGGUACCUAACCAGAAAGCCACGGCUAACUACGUGCCAGCAGCCGCGGUAAUACGUAGGUGGCAAGCGUUGUCCGGAAUUAUUGGGCGUAAAGGGCUCGCAGGCGGUUUCUUAAGUCUGAUGUGAAAGCCCCCGGCUCAACCGGGGAGGGUCAUUGGAAACUGGGGAACUUGAGUGCAGAAGAGGAGAGUGGAAUUCCACGUGUAGCGGUGAAAUGCGUAGAGAUGUGGAGGAACACCAGUGGCGAAGGCGACUCUCUGGUCUGUAACUGACGCUGAGGAGCGAAAGCGUGGGGAGCGAACAGGAUUAGAUAC
rnacentral:rRNA from 2 species